rnacentral:tRNA from 1 species
UGAGGCAUGGCUCAACUGGUAGAGCAUCUGCUUAGCAAACAGGCACUGAGUUCAAUCCCCAGUAUCUCAA